GUCGCUGGUCAACUAUGGUUCUUAUACAGUAACUCAAGCUCUGCAGGCGCCUGUCUCACGUCGUCAGUCGUUUACAAAAGACGGGGAAAAACAACGAAGAAACAAAUCUAAACGAAACACGACGAAGCGUACAGGCGUGCGCUCAGGACAGUACGAAGAGUGCAGGAGAGUUUGGUUAUUAUAUGCGUCCUGGGCCGACUUCAAAGGGAACUGUGCCGACAGUCGUCUGGAAAGUCUGCUGGAAGAGCUUAGGGGAAAUCCUCAGACAGCACAGCCGGUGGUAUAGGAUUCGCACCCAGCACCUCCCAGUCUUCAGCACGGCCUUGGAGUAUCCAGCAACGCCCGAAUGCUUUUAUCCACUCAGCCACACCGCUGAGUGCAGUUGCCAACCGAAGUAGAGCAUCUACUACCAAAUGAAGAACAAGAAAAACUCAGAGUACGCGUGAAAAAUAGACUAUACUUGCAACGAAGCGCUGCCCAUCCUGCUUCACACUGAUUCCCGGGUAAAUUGAGAAAUUUUCCGGAGCAGACGCAAUAAUCGUGGGUUUCCGUGCUCGCAGUUACCUAGGGAACCGAAGAAACCCUAAUCUUCUUUCUUUUUUUCCGCUUCCUGUUGACCUUACAGCGAUGGCCAUUGUUACGAUGUGUAGGCUGCCACUUGUGCAGGUGUCGGUGGAAUGCAUGGGACGGGUGGUGAAACCCAUGCGUUGUGAAGCUAUGAGCCCGGUGACUGGACAUGCCCAAACCGGUUUAGCUGCUCUAGGUUGUAGUGAUUGUUUUAGAUUAGGUAAGAAACGUACAGCGCUCUACAGGACGAAACCGACUGAAUGUCGUCAUUGACGUCGUUAGGGUCGUAGUUAGUGUCUCGUGGUGGCCAGUAAUUUUG